rnacentral:tRNA from 1 species
GCCGCCAUGGUGAAAUCGGUAGACACGCUGCUCU